AUUUCUAGCUUGCUAGAAGAUGACGAGUGGCGGACGGGUGAGUAAUGCUUGGGAACUUGCCUUUGCGAGGGGGAUAACAGUUGGAAACGACUGCUAAUACCGCAUAAUGUCUUCGGACCAAACGGGGCUUCGGCUCCGGCGCAAAGAGAGGCCCAAGUGAGAUUAGCUAGUUGGUAAGGUAACGGCUUACCAAGGCGACGAUCUCUAGCUGUUCUGAGAGGAAGAUCAGCCACACUGGGACUGAGACACGGCCCAGACUCCUACGGGAGGCAGCAGUGGGGAAUAUUGCACAAUGGGGGAAACCCUGAUGCAGCCAUGCCGCGUGUGUGAAGAAGGCCUUCGGGUUGUAAAGCACUUUCAGUUGUGAGGAAAAGUUAGUAGUUAAUACCUGCUAGCCGUGACGUUAACAACAGAAGAAGCACCGGCUAACUCCGUGCCAGCAGCCGCGGUAAUACGGAGGGUGCGAGCGUUAAUCGGGAAUUACUGGGCGUAAAGCGCACGCAGGCGGUGUUGUUAAGCUAGAUGUGAAAGCCCCGGGGCUCAACCCUGGGGAUGGUCAUUUAGAACUGGCAGACUAGAG
rnacentral:rRNA from 1 species